CAGUAGCCGCGGUAAUGCGUAGGUGGCAAGCGUUGUCCGGAAUUAUUGGGCGUAAAGGGCUCGCAGGCGGUUUCUUAAGUCUGAUGUGAAAGCCCCCGGCUCAACCGGGGAGGGUCACUGGAAACUGGGAAACUUGAGUGCAGAAGAGGAGAGUGGAAUUCCACGUGUAGCGGUGAAAUGCGUAGAGAUGUGGAGGAACACCAGUGGCGAAGGCGACUCUCUGGUCUGUAACUGACGCUGAGGAGCGAAAGCGUGGGGAGCGAACAGGAUUAGAUACCCCGGUAGUCCCUGUCUCUUAUAC
rnacentral:rRNA from 1 species